AGACAAUUUCAAGCUCUUUUGCUUGGUUUUGAAGGUUGAGUGUUGCGCUUGCGCUCGUUCACCAUUGAAAUUCACAGGCGGACGGUUUCGUGUUCCUUCUGGCGUUAUAGGUUAACUCUCUCGCUUGGAUACGUGAACCUGUCCUGCCCCAAAACCCCCAAUUAACUUGU
rnacentral:misc_RNA from 1 species